UACGUAGGGUGCAAGCGUUGUCCGGAAUUAUUGGGCGUAAAGAGCUCGUAGGCGGUCUGUUGCGUCGGCUGUGAAAACCCGGGGCUCAACCCCGGGCCUGCAGCCGAUACGGGCAGACUAGAGUUCGGCAGGGGAGACUGGAAUUCCUGGUGUAGCGGUGAAAUUCGUAGAUAUCGGGAGGAACACCAGUGGCGAAGGCGGCUCUCUGGACAGGUACUGACACUGAGACGCGAAAGCGUGGGUAGCAAACAGG
rnacentral:rRNA from 1 species